rnacentral:sRNA from 1 species
UGAUCGUCUAAGCACUUCACGCAACGC